rnacentral:rRNA from 1 species
CUAUGCGCCUUGCCAGCCCGCUCAGGUGUGCCAGCCGCCGCGGUAAUACAGAGGUCUCAAGCGUUGUUCGGAAUCACUGGGCGUAAAGCGUGCGUAGGCGGUUUCGUAAGUCGUGUGUGAAAGGCGGGGGCUCAACCCCCGGACUGCACAUGAUACUGCGAGACUAGAGUAAUGGAGGGGGAACCGGAAUUCUCGGUGUAGCAGUGAAAUGCGUAGAUAUCGAGAGGAACACUCGUGGCGAAGGCGGGUUCCUGGACAUUAACUGACGCUGAGGCACGAAGGCCAGGGGAGCGAAAGGG